UACGUAGGGUGCGAGCGUUAAUCGGAAUUACUGGGCGUAAAGCGCACGUAGGCGGAUACUUAAGUCAGGGGUGAAAUCCCGGGGCUCAACCCCGGAACUGCCUUUGAUACUGGGUAUCUCGAGUCCGGAAGAGGUGAGUGGAAUUCCGAGUGUAGAGGUGAAAUUCGUAGAUAUUCGGAGGAACACCAGUGGCGAAGGCGGCUCACUGGUCCGGUAUUGACGCUGAGGCGCGAAAGCCAGGGGAGCAAACGGG
rnacentral:rRNA from 1 species